GACGAACGCUGGCGGCGUGCUUAACACAUGCAAGUCGAACGGACAGGCCCGGCUCUUGUGGGGUGCUCGAGUGGCGAACGGGGGAGUAACACGUGAGUAACAUGCCCUUGACUGUGGGAUAACACCAGGGAAAUGGGGCUAAUACCGGGUAGGAGCUUCUGCUGCGCGGGGGGGGUUGGUAAAAGUCGGCGUUGGUGGAUGGACUCGAGGCUCAUGAGCUGGUUGGUGAGGUAGUGGCUGCCCAGGGCUUUGACGGGUAGCCGGCCUGGGAGGGUGGACGGGCACAUUGGGCCUGCGGUACGGCCCAGACUCCUACGUGCGGCAGCAGGGGGAAACAUUGCACAACGGGCGGAAGCCGGAUGCAGCGACGCCGCGUGCGGGAUGCCGGCUUUCGGGUUGUAAACCGCUUUCGCAUGAAACGUAGCGUGAGUGACGGUAACGGGUCAAGAAGCACCGGCUAACUACGUG
rnacentral:rRNA from 1 species